rnacentral:lncRNA from 1 species
GACUUCAGUCAGCACAGUGUCUGGAGACCUUGUUGAUAUAAGACACAAUAUGGAAGUGAAGCCAUUAAAUCAAGCAGGGUCUGCAACUGUCAUACUGCUAUUUGAAAUGUUAUUGAGACCAGUGAGGAGGAGGACAGAAUACUCCAGGAGUUUUGAAAUACAAUCAGAAUGAAAAAAUAUUGGAAAGAAAUCUGCUUCACAGGUAAAGCUCAGUCACUGAAUCUGUCUACUCCUUCUCCCAUCUCUGCAGCUCCCCUCCCCUCUGACACUCAAAGCCAAGGCAUGAAGUUACAUCUCUCUAUUUCUUCCAUCAGUUAUUGUGACAUCUGGAUGGGGUGCCACUUGAUGACAGGAGACACAACCAGAGAACUUACUCCAGCACGGUGACUAAAAUGGAAGGAGAUUCUACUGCAAUAUUCACUGGAAUGGCAGCACUGAAGAAAUCACUCCUGGAAAAAACAAGAAUUAUUACAUUACUCUCAGACAUCCUAGAAGGACUAAAGAUAUCAGUGAAACUAUCAGCACAGGUUAGGGAACAAAUACGGAAAGGCAGGAAAAGAGGGCUUUUAAUCAGGAAGAAAAUGCAUGUAGUAUUCUCCAAACUUAAAUCAGAAGUUUUGUACGUGAUGCAGGAUUUAGGUUCAGAUGAGCCUUUCCAAGUUAAUGGAGAUGCACAAAACUGAGUAAAAUAUGGAAAUAAAUCCUUGUAAAAGUCACCUCUAUGAAGCAAAUUAGAACUAUGCAACAGAUUUGUUACUUUCAACCUCCCAUAUAAAAACAAGAAGUCUUGUGCUUGACAUCCCCAACAUGUACCAUCAUGUCUCUGAUUGUACUAGUAAAGUCAGAUGAGUUCCAUCUUCAAUAAAUUGAUGGGAGGAUUGUAUUAUGAUAAAGCAGUUCAAAACUACCACAGAAAUAUUACGCCAAGCUGGAAAGAGAAUAUUGAAUAUUCUCACUGAAUAUUCAGUACCUUAUAUGCUAGCAGGACAGUUCAGGAACAGAGCAUUUAAUCUAUAGACUUAUUUCCCUUUUAAGGAAACCCCAAAAGAUCUAACAGUUAGCACGUAAACAAGAUUAUAAGCAAUGCAUUUGCUGGAGUUGGUUUGCACUUGUUGAAGAAAGCAGGGACACCCCUUAUAACUAAAUAACAAAGGUUUUGCUGGACAGAGAUGAAGUAAACAUGCAGUUUUGUAAAGUACUUAAAAGGGAGCUGGGAACAAAGUGAGGCCUCAUCCUCCAUUUUUAAUGUUUUUUGAAACACCUGCCAUUCAGUUAGCUCCUAAACCCCCAAAAUAAAGCAUCCCUUCAAAGCAUUUUCAUGGGCCCUAAGGCCAGGCAAUUGCUGAUCUGGAUGAGUCGAGAGCAUCUACUACAGAGGAAACAACAGCAGGAAGUGGGGAAUUCAUCUCAGAUUUCCUCUAACUUUACUGGUUGACUGUUAAUAGGGAAACCCCACCUACAUAUCUUAUAGGGUCAGAACCAUAACUGGAGGCUAUAGGGCAUACAGCUUCGCAAUCAUUCCAUUACAGUAAGAAUGUAUGUUUCCAGCUAAGUUCACAAACAAUGCUGAAUAGCUACUCAGAAGAAGAUUAACAGGACCUCCCACUUCAUGGAAACAGUGACUGUUUACAUAAUAUGUAAUGACAGUAAAUCAUAACAAAUCCUAGGAGAAAACUCCAGUGAGAGACAAAAUAACAAGACCAUCUGAUUUUAUUUCUUUUCCCAGUCUAACAAUCCACGUCCCUGUCCUGUAAGGAUUUCUUUAUAUACUUAGCUUUCAGCACAUCUGUAACGCCACAGACUUCAAUUAGUCUAAUUAAGUGCAAAAAGAAAAAGUGUGCACAUAAGGGCGUGACCUUUUUUCCCCCCUUUGUUUAUUCAGUGAUUAAUGGGGUAAAAUCCCUCUUGAUAGCUUGACUUCCCUUUCGCUUUGACACAAAUAACGCUAUACUUUCCACUUUGCAAGGUUAAGCAAUUAGCAUUCUAAAAACAGGGCUGAUAUAAAGUAGCACCACUAUUGAUCUCCAUUACUAUGCUGAGCUAGACCAGCUGAGGAUCUGACCCUGCCUAAAAUGGUAAUUUGUAGCGUGCAAAGGAGCUAAAACAUAUUUUUGCCAGAUAAAGAUGUGCAAAGGGACAACCAGCUCCUGAAACUCACCUGCCAUUUGAAAUUAGCUGCUAAAUAAUGCCCUGCUUCAGAAAUCCUCAUACAAUAAUUUGCUAUAUUAUAAUUCAACAUAGUUUUCUCAAGACCGACAGAUUGCACUUCUCCCCAGGGAACUCCUGCACUCUCUUUCUGUUUCUGAGUGUGCAAUGGGCAGACCCAUAGUUACACAACCAGAACUCAUUUCCUUAAACUGAACAAUUCUGGUGUAGAUUUUCUGAAAGGACACUCCCGUGAAAAAAUUAUCAAUUCCCUACUAAAGCAAAUGAGGGAAAAAGGAAAGGGGAAAAAACAGGAAAGGGAAAAAAGAUACAGAUGAUAAAAAAGAAAGAAAGAAAGAAAAAAGACAGUCUGUUCCUGAAGCUGUGCAGUAAAAGAAUGCCUGCAUCUACAGGACGAUGUGCCACUUUUAAGGGAAGGGAUUGCCUGUAGCCGAUGCGCGGUGCUAAAUGUCAGCCUGACAGUGGCUGCAGGAAUGCAAAUUCUUCACAUCAGUGCAAGAAGGAAGCAGCACGCAUCCUGGGAGUCGUCUGCAGCCUUCUAUUAGCCCCUCACAACGUGGUUAGAGCGUCCAACAUACUGCUUGGAGAGCGCUCCUGCAGUAUCUCCCCACUUUGGGUUGGAAGUGGGUUCUGGUUGCCUUUUUUCAUAUUACUAGCGAUUUAAGCAUCAAACAAGGAAACAAAAUUCAAAACAAAAUUCUCUCACGUGAACUCACUACAUACACUUCAGCGCUUGCCCAGCUCCCACUCAUACAGCAGCUAAAAGAUCUGGAGGAAAAGAACAGACCUUAAUGACCACGCGUCCCUGCGCUCUGGAGUGUGGGCUACAGCAACUAAUAACAGAUGAAGGUUUACAUGUUUUUCUUGUGUUUCUGCUGGGGUUGCUGUGUCAUUAAUUCAGCCUGUGCUUGACUACUUAUGUUAAACAUUCCCUUUGUGACUUUCUCUAAAUCUUAAAUUUUGCAUGUGACCACAUGUAAAUGUAAAUGUGUAUUUUUAUGGUCCUGUAAUCUCAGUGCUUUUAAAUCCCCGUUGCCUGAAGGCACACAGGGAGCUGAAGCAGAAAAGCUUGGUCAGUUUGUGAUCAUUUAAGCUAGUUUAUUUGCUCUUUCUGAGUAUAUUCAGCUCCUGUAGAGGUUUUUGCCUUUUGUGUAAUAGAGUACAGAUAAGAUCUAGGAACCUAAUUAACCCUGCAGGGCCUGUGAACAAGGCUCAUUAGAAAACAGUCAAACACAUUUAUAUUUGAAUACCUUAUUUACAGGAAUUCAUAUCAUAUUUCUGAACCGCAGAUAUACAUGCCACAUAAUCAUACCUUAACCACUGUAAAACAUUUCCUUAAAUUAAGCUGAAAAGUGCACCAAAUUUGAGCUCAAAGUCAUCUGGAUUAUACAUGUAAAUACCUCGUGCCUUAAUAAAUAAAUAAAUAAAAUAACUCUAAUAAAUGAAAGUUCUGUCUGCAGGACAUUCUAAGCUAUAAUGUCUCUUCACCCACAUCCCCUCCAAAAAAUCCACAUUUCACAAAAUCAGUACUCAUUGCAGCCUGAGCAGAAAACACCACUGUGAAACAAUUUCUCUGGGGAUUUCCCCCUCUGCCCAGGGCAGUGACA